AUUGAACGCUGGCGGCAGGCCUAACACAUGCAAGUCGAGCGGUAGAGAGAAGCUUGCUUCUCUUGAGAGCGGCGGACGGGUGAGUAAUGCCUAGGAAUCUGCCUGGUAGUGGGGGAUAACGUUCGGAAACGGACGCUAAUACCGCAUACGUCCUACGGGAGAAAGCAGGGGACCUUCGGGCCUUGCGCUAUCAGAUGAGCCUAGGUCGGAUUAGCUAGUUGGUGGGGUAAUGGCUCACCAAGGCGACGAUCCGUAACUGGUCUGAGGGGAUGAUCAGUCACACUGGAACUGAGACACGGUCCAGACUCCUACGGGAGGCAGCAGCGGGGAAUAUUGGACAAUGGGCGAAAGCCUGAUCCAGCCAUGCCGCGUGUGUGAAGAAGGUCUUCGGAUUGUAAAGCACUUUAAGUUGGGAGGAAGGGCAGUAAAUUAAUACUUUGCUGUUUUGACGUUACCGACAGAAUAAGCACCGGCUAACUCUGUG
rnacentral:rRNA from 1 species